UUUGAAUAAAAAAAAAAUUAAAAACCAAUCAAUCGUGGGCCGUCACGUGUCAGUGGGAUUCGCGAACAGUGCAAAAAACCGGCGAACAUCGAUUCUUAUUCUGGCAUUUCUGCCACUGAUUUUUUUCUUCCUGUGUGUCUCUCCACCCUUAAAAAACCCACUAAAACCCCAUUAAAAACCCCGAUAAUCCUGCCCUUAUCCUUUCCCGCAAACUUGUAUUUUUUUGGCAAACUCCGACGAGUGCCGACUUAUUUUUCUCUUUGUUCACACUUUGUCACCUUUUUUGGUCAAUAAAAAACGAUUUUGAAAUCAUCCACAAUUAGGGCUGGCCAAAAAACACGAUUCCAAAGAACAAAAUCAAAUCCGAUUCAAAAAAAUAGUACCGAACCCAAACCUAAACUGGUUCAAAAUUUUAGUAUCUAGAAAACUGGAGCCGAAUCCGAGGCGAACCGAAAUAUUUCAGGUUUCAUAAUAGAUCCGAAUCAGAAAUAUAUAUAUAUUACUUAUUUUUAGAUUAAAUAUCCAAAAAAUAACCAGAAUAUAUAAGAGAUUUUGAAGUUAUCCAAAAUAAUUGAAAAUAUAUACAAAUAAUCUAAAUGAAAUAUCUAAAUA
rnacentral:lncRNA from 1 species